AAGCAGAUUUUUUAAUUAUGGUUUUUAUUAUGUGUAUUUAUUAAGUGCACAGCUGAGUAUUUUUGAAUAAACAAAAGCAGGAAAACAAAAUAGCCAAGUUAUAGACAAUUUACAGCUCUGUGUGAGACUCCACACACGUCAGGGCCUCGUUUCAUAACUCAUCAACUUGCACCACUCUGUAGCUUUAUUACUGGUUGUUAUUGAUGCAAAAGAGAACAGAGUGAUGAAAGGUGCGUAUGCUUUGCUCCGAGAAAUACAAUCAUUUUUAAGUAUUUCAGUAACCUAAGAUGUUCUUUGGUGCAGCAUAAUCUUUCUUUAAACUUUUUCAUUACAAAGUGGGGAAAAAUGUUUUAUUUGGGGAAGAAGCUAUGUAAAAAAUCCAUUUUGGGCAACCAAAAUUAUUAUUGUACUGCAUAAUAAUAAUACUGGUCUCAAUAUCUACACUUUUCAUCUACGAAAACAUUGCAUAACUUUCCAUAGUUCCUUCUCUCCUUGCUGUCCUGGGGCAGAGCGUUUGAGACAUAAGGUAGAAUGACUUACCUCAAACUCCCAAGUGAGUCAGGAGCAGAAGUGAGGCUAUGACUCAUACUCAAUAUCCAAGCUUGUAUUUUUCCCUCUGAAACUGUAAGCAUAGCAGAUGACAGUGGGAGGAGUAAAAAUUUAGUCAACCACACCCUGCCUUCAAAAUACUUCAUUGGAUAAUCAAUGCCUAUGAAGACCAGAUAACAUCCAGGGUUGGUGUUUGGUGUUUUUUUAACCUUAUCUAUGAAACCCACAUGGUUGCAUCCAUGUCAUUCAGUUUAUCUUCUUAAAAAAGACGAUGGGAUGAGCUCACCCUGCCAAAGUUCAACUGCGUAGCUGCCUGCAUAGAAUUUAAAACAGCUAAGUGAAUGGAAAAGGAUCCAGCUGAUAUUGCAACUGAUACAGUUGGAGAUAACCCAGGAAUAAUCAGAUUAGAAAAAGCAUCAGGAACAGAGGAAACUGGAAAUAUUUUACACCCUUCAUAACACCCUGGAUCACUUAAAUGGUUUUGAAAGAUGGACUGUAAUAUUUAGUAAAUCUGUGAUUGGUUGAUUCUACCUUAGUACCUGUGAGUACAAGUUAUCCUUCUGCUAUGUCUAAGAGCAAGAUUUUCAACUUUGUAAUAUACAUUUUUGACAUAUGUGUGUUACUCUAAACUUCAUAGAUCUUUUUGGUAUGAGGAUCAAGGCAGGAUCUCUUUCCUAAAUAUUUUAUAGUGCAGCAAUACUGAGAUGGGAAGACUUAUAGCUGAAAGAGCUAAAUAAAAGACUUGGAGUUUAACCCA
rnacentral:lncRNA from 14 species